rnacentral:rRNA from 1 species
ACGGGUGAGUAAUAUAUCGGAACGUGCCCAGUAGUGGGGGAUAGCCCGGCGAAAGCCGGAUUAAUACCGCAUACGACCUAUGGGUGAAAGCGGGGGAUCGCAAGACCUCGCGCUAUUGGAGCGGCCGAUAUCAGAUUAGGUAGUUGGUGGGGUAAAGGCCUACCAAGCCGACGAUCUGUAGCUGGUCUGAGAGGACGACCAGCCACACUGGGACUGAGACACGGCCCAGACUCCUACGGGAGGCAGCAGUGGGGAAUUUUGGACAAUGGGGGCAACCCUGAUCCAGCCAUGCCGCGUGCGGGAAGAAGGCCUUCGGGUUGUAAACCGCUUUUGUCAGGGAAGAAACGGCUUUCUCUAAUACAGAGGGCUAAUGACGGUACCUGAAGAAUAAGCACCGGCUAACUACGUGCCAGCAGCCGCGGUAAUACGUAGGGUGCAAGCGUUAAUCGGAAUUACUGGGCGUAAAGCGUGCGCAGGCGGUCUUGCAAGACAGAUGUGAAAUCCCCGGGCUUAACCUGGGAACUGCAUUUGUGACUGCAAGGCUGGAGUACGGCAGAGGGGGAUGGAAUUCCGCGUGUAGCAGUGAA